rnacentral:rRNA from 1 species
UACGUAGGUGGCGAGCGUUGUCCGGAUUUACUGGGCGUAAAGGGAGCGUAGGCGGACUUUCAAGUGAGAUGUGAAAUACUCGGGCUCAACUUGAGUGCUGCAUUUCAAACUGGAAGACUAGAGUGCAGGAGAGGAGAAUGGAAUUCCUAGUGUAGCGGUGAAAUGCGUAGAGAUUAGGAAGAACACCAGUGGCGAAGGCGAUUCUCUGGACUGUAACUGACGCUGAGGCUCGAAAGCGUGGGGAGCAAACAGG